rnacentral:rRNA from 1 species
GCAAGUCGAACGAUGAAGCUCUUGCUUGCAAGAGAGGAUUAGUGGCGAACGGGUGAGUAAUAUAUAGCUAACCUGCCCCUUGGAGAGGGACAACAGUUGGAAACGACUGCUAAUACCUCAUACUGCUUUUUAUCAUAUGAUAAAUCGGGAAAGGUUCCGACGCCAAGGGAUGGGGCUGUAUGGUAUCAGCUUGUUGGUAGGGUAAAGGCCUACCAAGGCUAUGACACCUAGCUGGUUUGAGAGGAUGAUC